CGUCUGGUAAUUGGAAUGAGUACAAUUUAAAUCCCUUAACGAGGAUCAAUUGGAGGGCAAGUCUGGUGCCAGCAGCCGCGGUAAUUCCAGCUCCAAUAGCGUAUAUUAAAGUUGCUGCAGUUAAAAAGCUCGUAGUUGAAUUUCUGGUACGAUGUGCCUGGUCCACGGUCGCAAGGCCGCGCGUAUCGGAGUACGUCUGCCAUCCUUCUAGUUAACUGGCUAUACUUAACUGUGUGGUCAGCAACCUAGAUCUUUUACUUUGAAAAAAUUAGAGUGUUUAAAGCAGGCUCGCGCUGUGAAUACAUUAGCAUGGAAUAAUAAUUUAGGACUUUGCUUCUAUUUUAUUGGUUUCUAGGGGUAAAGUAAUGAUUGAUAGGGAUAGUUGGGGGUGCUAGUAUUCAUCGGCCAGAGGUGAAAUUCUUGGAUUCGAUGAAGACUAACUUAUGCGAAAGCAUUCACCAAGGAUGUCUUCUUUAAUCAAGAACGAAAGUUGGGGGAUCGAAGACGAUCAGAUACCGUCGUAGUCUCAACCAUAAACUAUACCGACUAGGGAUUAGUGGAAGUUGCUAUAUCGACUCCAUUAGCACCUUAUGAGAAAUCAGAAGUCUUUGGGUUCUGGGGGGAGUAUGGUCGCAAGGCUGAAACUUAAAGGAAUUGACGGAAGGGCACCACCAGGAGUGGAGCCUGCGGCUUAAUUUGACCCAACACGGGGAAACUUACCAGGUCCGGACAUAGUGAGGAUUGACAGAUUGAAGUUCUUUCUUGAUUCUAUGGGUGGUGGUGCGUGGCCGUUCUUAGUUGGUGGAGUGAUUUGUCUGGUUAAUUCCGUUAACGAACGAGACCUCGACCUGCUAAAUAGUAUGACGUAGGCUCUGUCUAUGGACAUGACUUCUUAGAGGGACUGUCGGUUUUUAGCCGAAGGAAGUUCGAGGCAAUAACAGGUCUGUGAUGCCCUUAGAUGUUCUGGGCCGCACGCGCGCUACACUGAUACGUGCAUCGAGCUUACAACCUUGGCUGGGAGGCCUGGGUAAUCUUUGAAAAGCGUAUCGUGCUGGGGAUAGAUUAUUGUAAUUAUUAAUCUUCAACGAGGAAUUCCUAGUAAGCGCGAGUCAUCAACUCGCACUGAUUACGUCCCUGCCCUUUGUACACACCGCCCGUCGCUGCUACCGAUUGAAUGCAUUAGUGAGCUUGAGGGAUCGUUUAGCUUGAGGGUCAAACUUCGAGUUAAGUGAGAACUCACGCAAACUUGCGCAUUUAGAGGAAGCAAAAGUCGUAACAAGGUU
rnacentral:rRNA from 1 species